CCUACGGGUGGCAGCAGUGGGGAAUAUUGCACAAUGGGGGAAACCCUGAUGCAGCGACGCCGCGUGAAGGAUGAAGUAUUUCGGUAUGUAAACUUCUAGCAGCAGGGAAGAAAAUGACGGUACCUGACUAAGAAGCCCCGGCUAAAUACGAGCCAGCAGCCGCGGUAAUACGUAUGGGGCAAGCGUUAUCCGGAUUUACUGGGUGUAAAGGGAGCGCAGGCGGCCUGCCAAGUCUGGUGUGAAAACCCGGGGCCCAACCCCGGGCCUGCAUUGGACACUGGCGGGCUGGAGUGUCGGAGGGGCAGGCGGAAUUCCUAGUGUAGCGGUGAAAUGCGUAGAUAUUAGGAGGAACACCGGUGGCGAAGGCGGCCUGCUGGACGAUGACUGACGCUGAGGCUCGAAAGCGUGGGGAGCAAACGGGAUUAGAUACCCCAGUAGUC
rnacentral:rRNA from 1 species